UACGUAGGGGGCAAGCGUUAUCCGGAUUUACUGGGCGUAAAGGGAGCGUAGACGGCUGAGCAAGCCUGAAGUGAAAGGCGGGGGCCCAACCCCCGGACUGCUUUGGGAACUGUACGGCUGGAGUGCAGGAGAGGUGAGCGGAAUUCCUAGUGUAGCGGUGAAAUGCGUAGAUAUUAGGAGGAACACCAGCGGCGAAGGCGGCUUACUGGACCGUGACUGACGCUGAGGCUCGAAAGCGUGGGGAGCAAACAGG
rnacentral:rRNA from 1 species